AUGCUCGCCGGCCGUGAGCCCCACAAAGUGAAGCUGCGGGAGGCCGGCAGUGGGCUUCGCGGGUUGUGGGACAUGUCAGUGGUGUUCGAUGGCGAAGGCCACAUGUACCUAGGGCCCGGCUGGGAGCAUUUCGCCCGCGCCCAUGAGCUACAGCUCGGAUACUUCCUUGUCUUCCGCUACGAUGGCGACGCCAUGUUCACCGUGAAGAUGUUCGACAACACCAUGUGUCGCAUGUACUACCAGCACGACGACGAUGCCACAAUGGGAGCAACAGUGGGGAUGAUGAGGAGUAGAGCGGGGAUGACGAGGAGCAGCCUAUUCUGGCUGACGACGACCAUGCUAUGGUGGUGGCGGACGACGACCUUGCUAUGGUGGUGGCGGACGAUGACCUUGCUAUGGUGGUGGCGGACGAUGACCUCGCGAUGGUGGUGGCGGACGACGACCUCGCGAUGGUGGUGGCGCCUGCAAUCCCACAGCUUGGUGACAGGACCAUGCCAAUUGUGGUAG
rnacentral:rRNA from 1 species